AAAAAAAAAAAAAGAAACUAUAAAAAUACUUGAAAGUUCAGGGAAAACUCUUGAAGGAAUCAGCCUGGGUGAGUAUUUUACGGAGGAGGACUCCCCAGGCAAUUGAAGCAGUAUCAAAAAUACACUACUGGGACCUGAUCAAACUAAAAAGCUUCUGCACAGCCAAGAACAUAGUAAGUGAAGCAAGCAAACAGCCCUCAGAAUGGGAGAAAAUAUUUGCAGGUUAUACCUCUGAUAAAGGUCUAAUAACCAGAAUCCACAGAGAACUCAAACGUAUUAGCAAGAAAAGAACACGUGACCCCAUCUCAGGGUGGGCAAGGGACUUGAAGAGAAACUUCUCUAAAGAAGACAGACGCGGUCUGAGGCAGCCUUCCUGCUCUUGCCGUGUGCUGGUGUUGGAGGACCCUCCCUGCUUCAGAUUUACCAACAGCAUGAAUCAAGAAAAGUUAGCCAAACUUCAGGCUCAGGUCCGGAUGGGGGCAAGGGUACAGCUCGCAGAAAGAAGGUGGUACAUAGAAUAGCUAUAGCUGAUGCCAGAAAGCUUCAGAGUUCUCUUAAAAAACUGGCUGUGAACAAUAUAGCUGGUAUUGAAGAGGUGAACAUGAUUAAAGAUGAUGGGACAGUUAUUCAUUUCAACGAUCCCAAAGUCCAAGCUUCCCUCUCUGCUAACACCUUUGCAAUUACCGGUCAUGCAGAAGCUAAACCAAUUACAGAAAUGCUUCCUGGAAUAUUAAGUCAGCUUGGUGCUGACAGCUUAACAAGCCUUAGGAAGUUAGCUGAACAGUUCCCAUGGCAAGUCUUGGAUAGCAAAGCACCAAAACCAGAAGACAUUGAUGAGGAAGAUGAUGACGUUCUAGAUCUUGUACAAAACUUUGAUGAGGCAUCAAAGAAUGAAGCUAACUAAAAUUUUUUCUGAUUUUUGGAAGCUGGCAUGGACUAGAUUUAACAAAUCAGCUAUGUGGUUCCAAAGUUUUACAGACACGGAGAACAUCACCUGUUACUAGUUCAGUAAUAUAAGUAUUUUGUAUAUUAAUAAUGCUGUUUGUUCAGUAUUUUUCAGUCAUUUGAUUUUGCAUUUUGCACUUCCAGGAUCUGUUCUUUUGGUCAAAAUAUGAAGUAUUAGUGGAGUUUGAGGGUGUUUUGGGGUUUUGAUUCUUGGGUUUUUUGUUGGAGUACUUUUGGUGUAUGUAUGUGUAUGUAUGAUUGUCAGUAUGUAUGUAUACAGUGGAGAGCAAAUUGGAAAACAGUUCUGUUUAUCCUUCUCCCUUCCCCAGUAGAAAUAAAACAAAUCUUUAAAAAAAAAAAGAAGACAGACGCACGAUCUACAAACACAUGAAAAACUCAUCAUCCUUAAUCAUCAGAGAA